rnacentral:rRNA from 1 species
CGCGAGCAGGUGCGAAAGCAGGUCAUAGUGAUCCGGUGGUUCUGAAUGGAAGGGCCAUCGCUCAACGGAUAAAAGGUACUCCGGGGAUAACAGGCUGAUACCGCCCAAGAGUUCAUAUCGACGGCGGUGUUUGGCACCUCGAUGUCGGCUCAUCACAUCCUGGGGCUGAAGUAGGUCCCAAGGGUAUGGCUGUUCGCCAUUUAAAGUGGUACGCGAGCUGGGUUUAGAACGUCGUGAGACAGUUCGGUCCCUAUCUGCCGUGGGCGCUGGAGAACUGAGGGGGGCUGCUCCUAGUACGAGAGGACCGGAGUGGACGCAUCACUGGUGUUCGGGUUGUCAUGCCAAUGGCACUGCCCGGUAGCUAAAUGCGGAAGAGAUAAGUGCUGAAAGCAUCUAAGCACGAAACUUGCCCCGAGAUGAGUUCUCCCUGACUCCUUGAGAGUCCUGAAGGAACGUUGAAGACGACGACGUUGAUAGGCCGGGUGUGUAAGCGCAGCGAUGCGUUGAGCUAACCGGUACUAAUGAACCGUGAGGCUUAACCUU